rnacentral:rRNA from 1 species
AUGCGCGACGACCGGGCUCCAAUCGAGAGCGGCGGCGUGCAAUUGAUCGCAUCGUCAGCGGCUCAGCCUCCGCGCCGGAGCAGAGUAGCCUUGCGCGCAGACGGGCCUCCGCACCAGAGCAAAGUACACAUGUCUGUCAGCGGGGUUCCAAACAAAGAGAAGAAGAGGACGAAGAGCCGCAGCACAGAAGCGGCCGCAUCGUCCAUGGAUCCGCCAUUGCACCAGAGCAGAGCACCCAUGUCUGUCAGCGGGGUUUCAGUGGAAGAGAAGAGGAGGACAACGGGCUCGAUGCCUAAGCCUCCACGCCGGAGCAAAGUAGCCUUGACUGCCAAUGGCCGUCCUGUGGAUGGUGUACGACGUGCCGACGUCAUUGAAUACUACAAGCAUAGCGGUGGAUCCAUCUACAGACAAACUGAUUUUUUGUCCAAACUUUAUCGUCUCCAUGAUACCAACGAGACUGAGCUGGAGCCAAUGAUGAGGUCGGAGCCAUCAGACGGUUGCUCGCUGAACUGGAGGCCCUGUGAAAGACAUGCCGAUUGCACCAUGAUGCAGAUAUUUUCACUGAAGCUGGCGUAUCCUCCUGCUGGAGACCAAGUUAAGGUGUAUGGAUUCAUGGCUGUCCGGGAUACUCGGGACCAUCUGCGUAACUACAUCUUCAACCGCACCAGAGAUGACCCUUUCAUUGUGGAACAAGAGGACGGAUUUAUACAGUUGUCCGGACCCAAGAGAGGCAUCUGGUGAGUGCUCACGCAACGCAUCGACGGUGACUAUGGCUCGGUGGACAUAAGCUAUGCGCUCCUGCAAAUGGCGAUGGAGGCCACGGUGCAGAUUGCUGUGUCGGAGCUGGACAGAGACAUAGGCCUGCUUGUAAGGGCGUUUUACGUCAGUGAUCUCUUGCACCAGGGGAUGCAACUGUUCGAUGGUGUUAUCCCUGCUGAUGCUGCUGGUGGUGGUGCGGACAGUUAUGAGUUAGAUAAGUAUGUGGUUGCUGCUUCCCGGCACACCAAGUUGGCUCUGCAAAUGAGGAUCUGUUCUUUGCAUGAUGAUGAUGAUGUUUGGAGAUAUUGUCUCCGCCCAGCCAGUGCGCAUGGAUCUGACGACUUCAGUUUCGCGCUCAGUUUCGCGACCAUUGAUGUGAAGAUCUCUUGGUCGACAUUGGACUAG